UACGGAGGAUGCGAGCGUUAUCCGGAUUUACUGGGUGUAAAGGGAGCGUAGACGGCGUGCCAAGUCUGAUGUGAAAGGCCGGGGCUCAACCCCGGGACUGCAUUGGAAACUGCCGGGCUGGAGUGUCGGAGGGGCAGGCGGAAUUCCUAGUGUAGCGGUGAAAUGCGUAGAUAUUAGGAGGAACACCAGUGGCGAAGGCGAUUUGCUGGGCCAUUACUGACGCUCAUGCACGAAAGCGUGGGGAGCAAAUAGG
rnacentral:rRNA from 1 species